GGCGGUUCUCAGGUGAUGCACCCCGGAAUCGGGCUCCCUCCUCUGGUUCCGGGUACGUCACCUGAGAACCGCA
rfam:Myotis lucifugus cont2.5800, whole genome shotgun sequence.